rnacentral:ribozyme from 13 species
GAACGAAAGACCAAGAAAGAAAGAAAGAUCAACAAAAAGAAUUCUUUUUCACUUUCUUUUUUACUUUUGCAAAAGAACUAAAAUGA